rnacentral:rRNA from 1 species
UACGUAGGAGGCGAGCGUUGUCCGGAUUUACUGGGCGCAAAGAGCGCGCAGGCGGCAUGUCAAGUAAGGUGUGAAAUCUCCCUGCUCAACGGGGAGGGUGCAUUUUAGACUGGCAAGCUAGAGGACGGUAGAGGGGGGUAGAAUUGCUGGUGUAGCGGUGAAAUGCGUAGAGAUCAGCAGGAAUACCCGUGGCGAAGGCGGCCCCCUGGGCCGAACCUGACGCUGAGGCGCGAAGGCUAGGGGAGCGAACGGG